CCUACGGGUGGCUGCAGUGGGGAAUAUUGGACAAUGGGGGGAACCCUGAUCCAGCGACGCCGCGUGAGUGAAGAAGUAUUUCGGUAUGUAAAGCUCUAUCAGCAGGGAAGAAAAUGACGGUACCUGACUAAGAAGCACCGGCUAACUACGUGCCAGCAGCCGCGGUAAAACGUCGGGGGCAAGCGUUAUCCGGAUGUAAUGGGGGUAAAGGGAGCGGAGACGGGGCAGCAAGUCUGAUGUGAAAGGUCGGGGCCCAACCCCGGGUCUGCAUUGGAAACUGUUGAACUGGAGUUGAGGAGAGGUAAGCGGAAUUCCGAGUGUAGCGGUGAAAUGCGUAGAUGUUAGGAGGAACACCAGUGGCGAAGGCGGCUUACUGGACUGUAACUGACGUUGAGGCUCGAAAGCGUGGGGAGCAAACAGGAUUAGAUACCCGUGUAGUC
rnacentral:rRNA from 1 species